AUUGAACGCUGGCGGCAGGCCUAACACAUGCAAGUCGAGCGGAGCAGCGGAGGGGGGAGGAAUGGUAAGGAGUCUGCAUGGUACUGGGGGAUGGCGUCCGGAAACGGGCACUAAUACCGCAUACUAUGCGAUGAGCCUAGGUCGUAUUAGAAAGUUGGUGGGGUAAAGGCCUACCAAGGCGACGAUCCGUAACUGGUCUGAGAGGAUGAGCAGUCACACUGGAACUGAGACACGGUCCAGACUCCUACGGGAGGCAGCAGUGGGGAAUAUUGGACAAUGGGCGAAAGCCUGAUGCAGCCAUGCCGCGUGUGUGAAGAAGGUCUUCGGAUUGUAAAGCACUUUAAGCUGGGAGGCGUUACCAACAGAAUAAGCACCGGCUAACUUCGUGCCAGCAGCCGCGGUAAUUC
rnacentral:rRNA from 1 species